GGAAUAUUGGUCAAUGGGCGGAAGCCUGAACCAGCCAAGUAGCGUGCAGGAAGACGGCCCUACGGGUUGUAAACUGCUUUUAUGCGGGGAUAAAGUGAGGGACGUGUCCCUUAUUGCAGGUACCGCAUGCAUAAGGACCGGCUAAUUCCGUGCCAGCAGCCGCGGUAAUACGGAAGGUCCGGGCGUUAUCCGGAUUUAUUGGGUUUAAAGGGAGCGCAGGCGGCUGUUUAAGCGUGCCGUGAAAUGCCGUGGCUCAACCAUGGCACUGCGGCGCGAACUGGGCGGCUUGAGUCGGCGGAAGGUGCGCGGAAUUCGUGGUGUAGCGGUGAAAUGCUUAGAUAUCACGAGGAACUCCGAUUGCGAAGGCAGCGCGCCGCAGCUGUACUGACGCUCAUGCUCGAAGGCGCGGGUAUCGAACA
rnacentral:rRNA from 1 species